rnacentral:lncRNA from 1 species
UUUCUUCUUUCGCUCUCGUUUCCUUUUUCUUCUCGGAGUUUCUCCGAACCAUCUUCAGGUAUCGUUUUUGAUUAUGCAGAACUACCCCUUCUUUGAAUCUGGGUUUGUUUAACAUAGUGUAUGUUUUUCUUCCGUUUAGGUUCUUAGAUUUCAAACUUUUCUGUUCCAAAAUCAAAACUUCGAUUAGGUUUUCAUCAAUCAAAUCCGAAAGCCCUAAUUUUUUUGGUGUCUUUUUCAUCUUAGGGUUUUCAAUUUCAAAACUUGUAUUUCUCUUUUAAGAUUUUAUGUUUUUUUUUUGGUUUCAGAUUAGGGUUUUCUGAUUAAUUUCAAAUCAAAAGCCCUCUCUUUUGGAUUCUUUUUUUCCGAAGGCUUUUCUAACUUUCGUGAUUCUAGUUUUCUUAAAUUUGAAACCUUUAUUUGCAAAUUCAGAUUUUAAAAUCUCACACAUCGAAAGACCCUCUUUUGGAUUUACGUUUUCUUCUUUUUCGAGGGAUCUUUACUUAAAAAAGUUUUUAUUUUUUGUCUUAGGUUUUAGUUUGUUUAAAGUUUUCUGUUUUCUCUUAAACCCAAAAGAAAGGGACAACACAUUAUAUGAUUGUGUCUGUCCGGUUUCUAACUUGGGGAAAUUGUCCCGUAUAGUCCGAUGUUGCCUAAGAUCAUAUGCUUGUCGAUCUAUGUUCGUAAGUAAGAGAUUGGAGAAAUCAAUCUCUAUAGUUGUAUUGUCUUGCUGUGCUGGGACAGCUUGAUAUAAACUUCAAAAUUCUGCAGCCUUUAUUAGGGCUUGAACAAUGAUGUUCCGAGAAUUUCAAUUCUCUACUUAAACGAUACAAUUCAAUAUCCUGCAAACUGAUGGAGAAUAAAAGUCCUUUUAAUAAGGCAAUUGUCCGUUUAAAGAUAUAUUGCUGUAGCUGGGACAGCAUAGUCCGAUGUUGCCUAACAGAAGCUAAGUUCAUAUGCUUGUCAAUCUAUGUCUUGCUGUACUGGGACAGCUUGACAUGAACUUCAAAAUUCUGCAGCCUUUAUUAAGGCGUGAACAGUGAUGUUCCGAGAUAUUUAUUUCUCUGCUUAAAAGAUAUGAAUAAGGCAAUUGUCCGAUUAAAUAUAUGUUGCUGUUGCUGGGACAGCAUAAUCUGAUGUUGCCUAACUGAAGCUAGAUCAUAUGCUUGUCGAUAUAUAUGUCCGUAAGUAAAAGAUUGGAGAAACCAGUCUCUAUAGUUCUAUUGUCUUGCUGUAUUGGGACAGCUUGAAAUAAAGUUCAAAAUUUCUGCUAAGAUCAGCCUGUAUUAAGGCUUGGACAAUGAUGUCCCGAGAAAUUCAAUUCUCUGCUUAUAGAAUUCAAUAUUCUGCAAGUUUAUGGAGAAUUCAAGUCCUUUAAUAAGGCAAUUGUUCGAUUAAAGAUGAAUUGCUGUAGCUGGGACGGCAUAGUCCGAUGUUGCCAAACAGAAAAGCUAGAUCAUAUGCUUGUCGAUCUAUGUCCGUAGCUAAGAUCAUAUGCUUGUCAAUCUAUGUCCGUAGUUUGAUCAUAUGCUUGUCAGUCUAUGUCCGUAAGUAAAGGAUUAGAGAAAUCAAUCUCUACAAAUAAUAGCUCUAUUGUCUUGCUGGACUGGGACAGCUUGAUAUAAACUUCAAAUAUCUCUGCUAAGAUCAGCCUUUAUUAAGGCUUGGACAAUGAUGUCCUGAGAAAUUCAAUUCUCUGCUUUAACGAUACAGUUCAAUAUUCUGCUACUUGAUGGAGAAUAAAAGUCCUUUUGAUAAGGCAAUUGCCCGAUUAAAGAUAUAUUGCUGGACAGCAUUAACAUUCAAUAUUCUGCUAUAUAGAACGUCAAUCUCUGCUUAAACUAUACAUCUCACUGAGAUAUGAAAUUCAAUACUCUGCAAAUUGAUGGAGCAUAAAUGUUCUUUAAUAGGACUUAUGUUUGAUGGUGUUCCGAGGUUGGAAUCUCGAUUGUGUAUUAAAAGAUAGUUUGCUGUGGCUGGGCAGCACAACAACGUUCAAUGUUCUGCUCAUAGUAACAUAUGCUUGUCAAUCUAUGUCUUGCUGUGCUGGGACAGCUUGAUAUAACCUUCAAAAUUCUGCUAUGGUCAGUCUUUAUUAAGGCUUGAACAAUGAUGUUCUGAGAAAUUCAAUCCUCUGCUUAAACGAUACAGUUCAAUGUUCUGCAAACUGAUGGAGAAUAAAAGUCCUUUAAUAAGGCAAUUGUCCGAUUAAAUAUAUAUUGCUGGAGCUGGGACAGCAUAGUCCGAUGUUGCCUAACAGAAGCUAAGAUCAUAUGCUUGUCGAUCUAUGUCCGUAAGUAAAGGAUUCGAGAAAUCUAUCUCUAUAGUUCGAUUGUCUCUAUUAAAAGAUAGUUUGCUGUGGCUGGGGCAGCAUAAUAACGUUCAAUGUUCUGCUUGUAAGGAUUGUCUAAAGACAUCCCAAGAAUGUGAAAUUCAAACUACUGCUGAAUCUCUAUUAAAUACGGAUGAUACUAUAUGAAUUUAGUAUUUAAUUCUCUGUCUUGCUGAGUCUUGACUAUACGUUUAAAAUAUUCAAAACGCUGCAUUACUACAAGAAUCUGUCGUCUGGGCGAGGAGGUAUGUAUUUCUUCUUUAACUAGAUUCUACUUAUGUUUUGUAAGUUUUUUUUUUAUGUUAAUGUACAUCUCUUAUAAAUCUUAGGCUAUAGAAGAAUAAAUUAGUCUCUGCUUGCCUUACUGUGUUCUAAGUUCUAAUCACAUCUAUUACUGAUUGUGGUUAAAACUUAGUUACACUUUGGUUCAUAAAACCAAGAAAAUUACAGUAUUGAUUAAAUAAAAUCCUUAACUAGCAACUCCCUCUCAAAUUAUUGUUUUAGCCGUAAAACACCAAAUUAGAUUUUGAAUACAAAAUAUAAAACUAACCAAAAAAAAAACAAAUAAGAACAAUUUAAAUAAACACCAAACAAUGAAAUCCUUGUUUCUUUGCUUGUUUGAUUCCUCUGCUUAGUGCAUUGCUUGUCUCUUUGCUUGUUUGAUCACUCUGCUUAGUGCAUUACUUGUUUGUUUGCUUGUUUGAUAGCUUGUUUGAUAAUUCCUGUGCUUAGUGCUUUACUUGGUUCUUUGCUUGUUUGAUUCCUCUGCUUAGUUUAUUUGAUUCUUUACAUGCUUAGCUUUGUUUAUUUGAUUCUCUAUUGCUUUGUUUAUUUGAUUCUUUAAUUCAUUUUCUUAGUGCAUUGCUUGUUUCUUUAUUUCCUUAAUGUAUUGUUUGCUUCCUUGAUUCCUCUCUGCUUACUUCUGUCUUUUCUUAUUGUUUACUUAUAUCAUUAUAUGCUACAUUUCCUUAAUUAUUUCUUACUUGAUUGUGUAGUGUACUCACUACUAGCUCUCUCUUUUCCAAUAUAUUUUAACUCCCACAUAUACAGUUCGCAUUAGACGAACACAAACACUAAACAUAAACAUACACAUAAACGCAUUACACAAAACACAUACACAUAAACGCAUUACCCGAACACAUACACUAAAGGUAAACAUGCACUGAUGCACACAAACGUAACUUUUGUUCUCACACUGAUACAAACAUUAAAAAAAUGCUAAUACGUAUACAAAAAUAAACACAUUACUCAAACAAACAUCUAAAAUGCUCACACUGGUACAUAAAUCUUUCAAGUUGAAGAAUCAUGUGUGGCUACUCUUGUUUCAGUCUUUGUUGCUCGAUCCAACUACUCUAUUUGAGUUCAAAUCGAAACUCAGAUAUUCAUGAAAAUGAACAUAUAUAUUACCAAAUUAUUGAACAAAUAUUUUUAAUUCCAUUUCAAAUUUAGAAAAUUGAGAAACAGAGUGUGUUUCUGCCAGAAGUUGGAAGUUUGGCUCUUUAAAGACACAUUACAAAAUUCAGAACAUAUAUUUUACUCCCAAAAACGUAAUUGAAAAGUAUUACCAAUUAUUGAAUUUUUUUGUCAAUGAUUAUAUCGUUUUCAAAGCAUUUCAUUAUCUAUUGGGUAGAAGUUAUAACAACCGAACGCCCAGGCCUAGUUGCAACUUUGUUACAUAAUAGGUUAGUUACACUUUGAUUCCUAAAAACCAAGAUGUAAAAUUAUUGAUUAAAUAUAGUCCCUAACUAUUUGACCAAAAUAUAUAUAUAUAUAUAUAUAUAUAGUCCCUAACUAGCAACUCCCUCUCAAAUUAUUGUUUUAGCUGUAAAACACCAAAUUUAAUUUUGAAAACACAAUAUAAUAGUAACCAAAAAAAAAAAGCAAGAGCAAUUUAAAUAAACACCAAACAAUGAGAUCCUUGAUUGAUUUUCAUACAAAAAAAAAAUACAUAAUUUGUUUUAUCUAAAAUAAUCUGGAUUUGAAAAUUUUGGCCGUUUACAUAAUAUGGCCAUAAAUUCAUCAAUUCACAACAACUUAAGUCUACAAAAUAGAUUACUUGUCGAAAACGACUAUUGCGCGCGAUUUUUCAAUAUCUGCAUAGAUUUGAUCCACUUCUCCCCGAGUACCAUACAUUUGCCCUAAAGGAUCGUAAAAAUACUGCACAUUGAAAUUAAAUGAAUAUUAAAACAUGUUAUAUAAUACACAUUGAAAUUAAAUGAUUAAAACGUAUUAUACAUAUAUAUAUAUGAAAAAUCAGAUAUGAAGUAAAAACUAAGAGUUGGCAAAGAUAACUAAUUCUUAAAACUCAUGAAUUGUGAAUUUUGCGGUGACAAUAAGAAAGUGAGUCUAGUAGAAAAUAUCUAAAUCUACAUGAAGCUAAGCUAACAGCUAAACUAUUAUCACUUAGUUGAUAGCAUAUUAAUUUUCCAUCACAAGACGAUAUAUCAAAAGAAAAGAAUAAUAUAAUUACCCGGUAAAGUCGGUCAUGGGGCUUAAGACGCUCCUCAGCGAUCCAACCAGAACGAAGCCAGUUGUAACGAGGACACGUAUUAUCAAACACAGUACAAGACGUAUUUGGGAUUUUAUUCAGUUGCCUUCUGCGACUCACAAUCAUCAACGUCUCUUUACCUUCCUUUGACAGAUUUGCAACGCUGUUCUCAUAACUGAUCACCUCCGACGAUCUCCUCUGCCGUGGACGUUUCUGUCGUCGAUGUCCAGAACUAGUAGAUUCAGCCUCCAUAUCUUAUCCUUGUUAUCGUUUUAACGAGUUUCAAGUCUUUUUAUAUACACAAAAUUUAUCACCUUAAGGAUACAAUUGUGCCAUGUGUUUUCUCAUCUUCGUUAUUUUUCACCUUAUAUAGAAAGAUAUCUUAAAGAGAUUACAAAAUCUCCAAAUACAUUAAUGUAUGUUCGCUAUUUUGCACCACAAAUGGAAACGUAUCUUAAGAAAUUUACAUAAUGUCAACAAUACAUUAAUGUAUUUAUUUCCAUAAACAAAAUUAUGUAUUUUUUUUACACUUAACACCAAAUUGAAAAUGAAUAUCAGUUUUAAAAUUAUUUUUAAUGAAUUUUGUCUUUAAAUUUUUAAUGAAUUUUUGCUUUUGGAAAAUUUGAGUUUUCUUUUCUGGAUUUAGCUAAUACUAUUUCA